UUUGAAAUUGAAGAAUUCUUACUUGAUGAUGAGUUGAUCAAAUGCUUUGGUGCAUAGUUUUCACAAUAGACAUUUCAGAUUAUAUAUUGUGAGUGAUACUUUACUUUAAUCUGUGAUCCAAAUUUAAUGUCCAUUGAUAACUUUUGGUCUUCUAAGUCUUGUCAUCAACUUUUUUUUCUUUUUUUUCGUUAAAUAGUUGGCCAGAGGUUUCCUUGGAGGCCAAUUGAGGAAUUUAUGUAAAUGAAAUGAUGUGUCGGAGGGAUAAAUGAUAAAAUUAUGAUAUAUUUCUUGUUAACUUUGGACAAGAUGAGCCUUGU
rnacentral:misc_RNA from 1 species